rnacentral:rRNA from 1 species
AGUCGAGCGGGCGUAGCAAUACGUCAGCGGCAGACGGGUGAGUAACGCGUGGGAACGUACCUUUUGGUUCGGAACAACACAGGGAAACUUGUGCUAAUACCGGAUAAGCCCUUACGGGGAAAGAUUUAUCGCCGAAAGAUCGGCCCGCGUCUGAUUAGCUAGUUGGUAGGGUAACGGCCUACCAAGGCGACGAUCAGUAGCUGGUCUGAGAGGAUGAUCAGCCACAUUGGGACUGAGACACGGCCCAAACUCCUACGGGAGGCAGCAGUGGGGAAUAUUGGACAAUGGGGGCAACCCUGAUCCAGCCAUGCCGCGUGAGUGAUGAAGGCCCUAGGGUUGUAAAGCUCUUUUGUGCGGGAAGAUAAUGACGGUACCGCAAGAAUAAGCCCCGGCUAACUUCGUGCCAGCAGCCGCGGUAAUACGAAGGGGGCUAGCGUUGCUCGGAAUCACUGGGCGUAAAGGGUGCGUAGGCGGGUCUUUAAGUCAGGGGUGAAAUCCUGGAGCUCAACUCCAGAACUGCCUUUGAUACUGAAGAUCUUGAGUUCGGGAGAGGUGAGUGGAACUGCGAGUGUAGAGGUGAAAUUCGUAGAUAUUCGCAAGAACACCAGUGGCGAAGGCGG